AUAGCGAGAAUUCUUUCUUCUCUUUGAGUUUGAGAGAAAGAGGUAGUUAGAGCCUAAAAGUAUUAUCGAUCGAUAUUUUCAUGCCUUUUUUUAAAAAAAUUAUAGAUAUUUUAGAAUGGAUUUUAAGGUAUUUUUGAAAUGAUUUUAAUUGGUGAGAUUGGAGAUUAAAACAUCAUGAAAUUUUAAGUGGGAUGUCUAAGCUAUAAAAGGAGGUCAUGGUUCAAA
rnacentral:lncRNA from 1 species